GUAGAAGGAUCUAAAUCAAAAUCAGAAUGAAGUUCUUAUAUAUCUUCACACUAGUGCUUGGAAUCAUCUCCCAGGUGUUUGCCACCAUAGAUGAUGGAGAGAGAAACAUUUAUUCGAUGAAUCUUCCUUAUGGAAGAGGAUUGGACAAUGAAUUACAACUUGCUAGACUGUUAAUGGCGUCGCCUCGUCUUUGCUAUCCAAAACGUAAUUCCGAGAUUAUCAAUACUUUACUUGGUCUUCCGAAAAAUAUGAACAAUGCUGGAAAAUGAAAUAUUUAUGACAUAGAUAAUUACUUACAAAAAUAUGUACUAGCUAUUGAUAAGUUAUUGCGAUUAUAAAGAGUGCUUUAUUAUUGUUUAACACACAAUGAAAAUCGAAAAUGUAAAAACAGCAAAUUUUUGUCUAUUUUAUUUCUAUUAUGUAAUUAAGUUAUAUGCAUAUAGAUUAGAAAAAGUAAAUAAAUAAAUAACGAAAAAAUAA